UCCGAAUCGUUUGUGAAUCUCAUCACUGUUAGAAAUCCAAGAGAAGAGAUCCUCUUCCCUUAACACAGAAUGGAAUCAUCAGAGGAAAAAUCUGCUUCUUAAUCAAUUAGUUUCAGCGUUUGCUGUAAUUCAUAACGCGCUCUGUGACCUUCUCCCUCCCUCAGGACUCUGUGGUCUGUGUGUUCUGGUAUCUGCUGAGUCACCAGAAAUCUGCCAAGACACUGACACUUGCGCCUGCUUCAACAUCUGGCGCAUAAGGGCUUUAAGGUUUCCAGAACCAAGCUGCAAUAUUGCAUGAACACUUAAGUCAGAAAAUGGAUCCCUGACUGCUCUUUAUAUGACAAGCUUCUCCGUUCCACAAUCUCUCAUCACGAUCCACUGCAACAUCCUUUGACCUGGACUGACGCUAUGGUGGUUGCUUAUCACUCCCUCAGAAGCACCCUUUGUUCCGCCCCUGGGUUACCUGCUCUCUUCAAGCCCUUCCACCUCUAUGCCUGUGAACACCAAGGCACAGCCUCUGGGGAGCAUGAGGGGGGGGGGGGAAAUGCAUCAUUGUGCGUUUUUAUCCAAAACAUUAGACAUUGUUGCUCAAGGCUUACCUGCGUGUCUAGGGGCUGUCUCCGCAUGUGCUUUGAUGGUUUUAGAUGCGGAAAAAUUGGUUUUGUCUCACCCACUGAUCUUGCACUCGUCACAUCAAGUUAAACAGGUGUUGCAAAAUUUAC